UUGAGCUUUUGGUUUCGUUGGAGAGUUUUGCUAUCCUUAAGUGUGUCCACGUCGACAGGUAUUCAUUUAGCGGGCCCCAUUUAGAUAAUAAAUAUUUCUGCUUUCGACGUUACUUUUGACCAAUGUAUUAUUUGCGUAUGCUUUGAACAUAAUGUUUGCCUUUUCAGAUUCUAGAUCUCCAAUCGUUAGGUUAAAAGCUAACAGUUCUGGCUCAGCGGAGUAAUGGAUAACCGAAGCACCCUACGGUGGAUACCUCAGUCACGCACUCUCUCCGCUCCUGUCCUUAUUUGAUCAAAACACAAAACUCUUUCGCCGGAGAUCAUCUCCUCUCUACUGCCGGCAAUCGGCAAGGACUCGCAAAAUCUCUCAAGAGCUUCAUCUUCGCCGCUCAUCUCCACGUUGACAACCACAUCACCGUUUUCUACUUCGACACGGGGAACCGAUCCCCUCCGACUUGCUUCUCCACCGGUUCAUCAACGGCGACGACUUCUCCAUCUUUUCAAUGGAUUUCUUCAAAUCAAAGUAAGGAUCUUCUGAUUCCAAGGAGAAGAGCACGAAGCCUUCUUCUUCCUGAUAAGCUUCUUCUUCGUCUCUCUUAGUAAGUUCUUCAGUAUAUAUUUUGAUUUUCAUCUACGUUCAAAGACGAGGCUUUGUGAUGAUUUAACUCUUCUAAUCAUAUUCUCUUUACACUUUAUCUUGGGUGGAUUUUCCAUGAAAUCAUCUGUGGUUAAAGAGGAGGAUGAGACACUGCGUGGAGGUGGCUAAGGGUCGUUGGUAUUUUUACUUUUACAUUUGUUAACGGUGGUGGAAUCUCCAGAAGAUAAUGUUUUAGGGGUUUGUUGAUACGAUGAGAUGUAACUCUUUAUUCUAGAGCCUUUAAUCUGUUUUUCCAAUCAGUAUGAAGAAGGAGGCUGCAAUCUUUAGAAAAGUACAUCCUCUUUUCAAUCCUUUUUGCUCUUUGUUUGGCAAAUAACAUUUGGAUUAUGCAGAGGAUAUUUUAUAGAGGAACGCUGAGAAAAGUGUUGAGAUCAUCUCAGUUCAAAAACACUUGGCUUCCUCAACAUACUAAGGUAGCAAAACAACCAGCUACCCUCAACGUAAUUUGCAUUUAGAUCCAUCAGUCACUGACACAUAAUAUAAUAGGAUGACUUCAUCAUGGACUUUUUUUUUUCUUUUUUUUUUUGGUUGUGUAGAUGUAAACAAAGAAGGUGUGAAUCAGAGGAUGAUUGUCUCCCUAUUCUAUAGAGGAAGACGAAUCCUAUCAAAAUGUAAGACAUUGAGAAAGAUGAUGUCAAAAGGGAGAGAAGACAGCGGAUAAUCUUUGGAAGGUUCCAUCUUUAUGUUAAUUCAAAUCCAGUAUUUCUAAUAUAGAUGAGCAGUCACAGAGGUGUCCAAAUCAACAUCAACUCUGUAAGUGAGGUAUUCUAAAUGGAUUCAUCGUAUGAGAUAGUAGGUAAAAAGAACACACAGUCCCUACUAAUUAAUACACCCACACACCUCCAUUUCUCUUUCAACUUCUGGUAUACAGGAAAAUCAUAUAAGCUAACUAUGUUGUAUAGAAAAAUAUGCUUCAGCGCUCAUCUUACUACUGCCAUAAAAUAUUUAUCCUUCUUAGUUUUCCAUUUUUUUCAACCUAUCUCUAAACUUUAUGAAAAAUAUUAUUUUUUGGUAUUUAUUUGCUUGGAUUCCACUGACUAUGUGUAUUUUUUUUUCCCAGAUUCAGGUUAAAGUUAAGGGCAACAACAUGGUCAUGGUUUACGAGAUCUACACAUUUGCACCAUUUGGAGACUAUAAUGCUUCUGCUACUAAUGCUUAAUAUACAGGGCUACAAAAAGCUUUUCCUGUAUACCUGAGUGAUUCACCCGAUUUUGGUUCAUCUCAACCAGUCAAUCAUGUUUCUUUUGUCAAUGGCUCUGGCCCUGGAGGUGGUUCAAAGAAGCCUGCUGAGAAAGGAUUUGCGACAAAAGGUGGCUGUAAUAGCUUCAGCAGCAGAGCAUGGAGACUAUCCCUGAGUUUCCAUUAGUGAGCAUGUUUUGAGGCAAUCCAUGAAUGUUAUCUAAAGGAUGGGAUCUUCCAUUCUGGUAGUAUUGCUGGUUCCUCAUAGAAGCAGCUUCAUCAUCAUCCUGAGGAAGGCGAUCAAACACAGCGUUCAUGAAAGAUGCAGCCAUCAGAAAAAACAUGACCAGAUGCUAUUAGCCCACCACCAACCUGUCGUUGAUGGUCAAACCAGUGAUCCCAAGCGGUGCUGGUGGGAGGCACAAUUGAUCGUAGCAAUGACAGGAUCUUGAAACGUCCAUGUUACGUCACUUUAGCUCCUGAUGAUGCUGGCUGCCUUAGUGUCACAUUGGUGACGCAACCAUUAGCAUUUAGUAUGAAGAGACUUCUCUGCUUCUUUCCAGAGAAAUCUGAUAUAGCUAGUCUCACAGGCAGAGAUGAUCACAACGGCAUGAACUCUGAGGAAACUUGGACUAUCGUGAGUCACAGUGAUUGGUGAUUUGGGUUUGUUCUGGGAGGCAUAUAGUCUACCUCUUUGCCUCUUAGUCAUAUCUCUUAUGAUGAAACCGAUUGUACCUCUUUGAGUAUUGCUUUCAUGUUGUUUUUAUUUUUAUUGCCUCUCUUUGCUGCUUCUUGGUUCCUCAUUGGAAAUGCUAACUUAGAUUCUACAGAGGUUGUAGUUAGAGUUGUACCUACAUUGAUAUCAAAAUGUUAGAACUCAACUGAGAUUUUGUGAGGAAUUUAUGGCUUUAAGUAAGAAGAUUAUGUGAAUUAUUAUACAUAGAAACACUAAAAGAAUGAUUGUGAAGAGUAGGAGAUGGUUGAGUUUUCAUCAAAACUUUUUUUUUUCUUUUUUCUUUUUGGUCGAAAGUUUUCAUCAAAACUGUAAUUAAUAAUUAACAAAUCAUUUUGCCCAAAAAGGUAUUUGGCAGCCUACUUCUUUUAUGACAAUUGUCUUCUUUUGUAAAGACAUAGAUUAAUAUUUAAUAAUAAUGUUUUAAACAUGAAAUAACUGCCAAAAUUGAACUGUACACAGUUUUAUAUGGGCAUAUAAUAUGACUAUUUUGCAGGCGUGUUACAAAGUGUGUUCUUACCCUGCAACGAGAUUUCAGUUAAUAAUAGUAAUAUAUACCUUCCAAGUGCAUGUUAGUAUUAUAUGCCCUGCAAAAUUUGUCUUCUUACGAUGAACGUAUAUGUACGGUUCAAAUUUUUAUAAAGAAUACUGAUUUUUAGGACUAAUUAAAUAAUGCCACAACUUCUGGUUCCUCAUUUGCAUAUGCAAAUAUAUAGAAAUUAAAGGAGAAUAUGCAUAACAAAAAGAUUUUGCAACUGCAAUCUUUUUCAAUAUUGUGCCAGAAAUAUCUACAAGAAAUAUGGCUAUUGGUAGCAGUUCACGGUAGCACGAAUUCUCAAACUGCUACCAAAAAUGGUGUAAUCCGAUACCCAUCUUUUUCAUAGCGUUAGUUCCUCGCUAGCGAUAAAUUUAAUCCGGGAAGGGAAAAAAAUUAAUAAAGUAACGUAAUUUCAUUAAUCGAUAUUGUGCACACAUAUCAUUAAUCUAUUAAUAUAAAGAAAACCAUUCCCUCAUUCUCCUUCAACGACGUCACAUAAUAGUGUUACCAGAGGUCGACACGUGUCCAAAACACAAAUCGAUGAGUUUCAUAAAACUUUCAGUUACAUGGUUUUUAAUUUGAUCUGGGCCUUACAUUUGUUCAAUUCGGCGAGCCCAUCAAUGAGUUUCUCCAGUUGUAAACGCAGCUUUGACCUUCGUUUUCGUAUUAGGUUUAGCUUUCGUCUCAACACAGAACUAGAGUUCUUAGAGAGUUGAUUCAGCUUCUUGCUAACGCUCUAUACCAGUUACAAAAUCCCCAUCUUUAAAGUCAUUCUUAAAUCAUCACCCACUAUCUAUUUUGAAUGUGAUUUUCUUCCUGUGAGUCGGUGGAACUUCAAUUAUAAAAGGGUAAGCUUUCCUACUAUCACAACCAUCUUCUCAUUUUCUCUAAACAAGACAUUAAACUUAUAUCAAGAAAAUGGCUAACGCAUCAAUCUUCCUUUCUGUUCUGAAGACCGGACGAUGCUCCUCCACCGUUCAAGUCCGGUCCUCCGCUUCUCGGAAGCCAUGAACGUUCGACGCGGCGGCGAACUCAUGUGAGUCGACAUGUUGCUGCUUGAGGUUUAUUCUGUCCCUCUGCUGGAGUUCAUAACUAGAUUGGUUUUUUACAUUACCGGUUCACGUUCUACAGCAGAAGACACCAUUCCAAGAGAUGUCAAAAGUUCAUGCGGCGUCGACCAUCCAGAUAUGUAUUUUAUAUUUUUCGGUCAUGGGCUUACUGCAAGUACUCCUUUACACAACAGCAUCAUGAAUUGAGGAUUUAUACGAAAUUCUGCCCGGAAUAUGGAAGACCUUGACAGUACACCGAGGCUGAAAGCUAGCUUUAAUUUGUAGAAAGAACGCUGAGGUUAGAUUGGAUUAAAAGGAACAGCAAGUCAGCCAUCUUCACCAUCUUUCCAUCCGGUCUACAUCCUUACCGAUAAGAUCGCCCCAUAGCCCAUCCAUCUCAUCGACCCAGCUUCCCAGCCUGCAACAUUUGGUAUCAGAGCUUAAAGCUCCUAUAUCAGGUGAUAUCAAUCCAUAUCUAUCUCUGUUCUUGUUUCAUUCCUUGCUAGUUUUCACUUGUAAAACCAAAAAGCCAUAAAAAUUGUUAAUUUGCUUCAAGUUUGAAUUUCUGCAUUUUGUUUUCUUGAGAAAAUAAAAUGAAAAAGAGAAAGUUUAGUUAGUUUGAUCCACGAAAUUCCUUUGACAUAUUAGUCUAGUUGUUUGCAUUCAUUUCCCCCAUCUCCCCUUUCCAUAUUUAAUUUUGCAUACCAUAAAAUCUGUUAUUUUUAAUUUUUCUCAUUUAUGUUGCAUCCUUAAAAUUUUAAAAAAAAAUUGAGAACCUCAUAUUUGUUUCAUACCCAUUUCGUGCAUGCCAUAUAGUAGUUAUAUUGUGCAUUUAAAUUAAAAAAAAAACCCAUUUAGUCUUAUUUGCAUUAGUUUUAUAGAAUUGUUUCCCUUUUCGGUUUUUUUGCAUUCCAAACCAAGAAACUUAAAAAAAAAAUUUGCAUUUGUCAUUUUUUAUUGCAUAUUUCAUAUCAGUCUGCCUUAGUUCAUGCAUAUCAUCUUUCAUUCAAAAUUUUUUUUAUAAGAAUCAUAUUUCAAUUAUUUUCGAAUUUUUCAUACCAUAUUUGCAUAUUUUGUUUCUGUGAUAUUCCGUGUUUUUAACGGUUUUAAACUCGUUUUGGAGCAAUUAAAUGGUCGGUUUUAAUUAAUGUUUUGGUCUAUUUGAUGUGUUUUGGUGUUCUUAAGUGUAAUAUGCAUGUUACUAGAUAGCUUGCAAGAAAAGAACGCAUUCGGGAUUUAUUCAGAAGCAAGAUGGACCGAACAAUGGACCGAAUGGGAAGUAUUGAUCGCACAGGACGGAGAUCGACCGAUCCGGUCCAUGUGGAUCGACCGAUCCCACGCUUUCAUGCACUAGAUCGACCGAUCCCACGCUCUACGGGCUCCACACGCACCAAUGAGCUUUUCACUCCUUUUUACCCACUCCCCUCAAUUAUGGACGGGAGAACUGGACUUUUGGGACUCAAAAAAGAGGAGAGACGACCAAGAAGGAGAUUUACAAGUUCUUGAGAGAGAUUUGAGAGUUUUGUGACUUGUUUUGUGUGAUUUGUGAAGAUUUGUAAAGGAAUUCAUCUCAAAACCAUUUGGAGAAGAUCUUCUGAACCUUUACUCUGUUUUAAUACAAUCUUAUCAUGUUUUCUUCA